rnacentral:lncRNA from 10 species
GUGGAGAGGAGGGCGUGUGUGCGCGCCUGUAGAGCGGGGCUCGGGCUGCGUGGGAGCUGGGCGGGGAUGCGCACACACGGACCGACUCCCACAGACUGUCCCCCUUCAGGUGUCCUGGUGCAGGCUUUCAGGGAAGGGAGAGCCCCUAACCUCGCCCCACCUCCCAAAACUUCUCCCCCUGCCGUCGGGCUAUGGUAAAGGGGAAAGGACAGGACUCAGGACCUUGAGGGAGGCAUUGAGUCAGAGGGCAGAGAGGGGUCAAGGAGACCCAGGCGGGAGGCGCGGAAGCAUACAGUCUGCGGGGACAAGGACUGAACGGGGUAGUGGGAGCCAGGUCCCUGGUUCCCUUCACGCCCCCACCCCCAGCCUCAGCUCUGUCUGGGUGGAACGAAUGUCUGCUAAUGAACUAAACAAACAGGUCUCUUAAUCUUAUCAUGGAGCUGACCCAGAGACUGGCACAGAUAUCCAAAGUAUCAUAAUUGGCAGGUCAGAAUUAAAACUACAUACAUCAUGGUGACUUUAUAGCUGAGGCAAAGUGGAGCUCAAGUGUUACUUUCCCAGUAAGCAAAUCAUAAUGAAGUAUCAUGCUGGUGACUAAUUUAACUAACAUUGUCCAGGAAAUUGCUGUUGUCCAGGAAGAGAAGAGUUGAGCCGAGUGUCAACUACUAGGCUUCUGGCACCAUCCUGCACAAGAAAUUGGAGCAUAAGGGACAUUUCCACAUUCUAACUUUACAUGAAGACUCAGGACUUUGAAAGCCCAUGAGAAAGUUUUCAUAAGGAUUUAUCCACAAUUUCUUCUUUGAUUUGCUCAGAUGUGAAGCAGGAAACCUUCCAGACAUCCUGAACCUCUGAACUUUUUGUGGAUUGCCCAUCAACACAGGCAAACAUUCAUGAAGCAAUUCAAAAAUCUCUUCUCACUGCAUUAUAAGCAUGUCCUUACGUUAUUCAUAUAUCAAGAGCAUGCCCAUUCCCAACCCACAAUGGAAUGUGAGCCUAAUUACAUGUUCCUUUGGAAUAAGAUCUCACCAGCCCAGGAGUGUCAGAAACCCUCUAUCAUAUAUACGUAUCUUGUUUCCAAAAUGAUCUUCCCAAGCCACCCUAACAGGCCCCCUUCAGAAUGCUUCCUGCUGACAAGUGAAUCUGCUUUUUGCCUUUCACCCAAUCUCAGCUCAUGCUUUCUCUGUGAAAAUAUCACAGACCACAUCUGACAGUGGUCCAGCUAAUUAAUGUACUCCAAUGUCUAGCAAGCAUUUGACAGGAAAAAUAAUCUAUACAGUAUUUAUUGCAAAAUCUUCACCAAUGUGACAAAGAUGAAUGUAAACUUUACAUAAUCAUUUUUCAUUUGUUAUCCAAAGUUGAAAGUGAUUUUCAAAUGCUAACUUUAAAAUUAUGAUGAGGAAGAUAACAGCUCUGCUUUAAAACUGCUUGGCAAUGGAAUUUCUAUAGUAUAAUGGUUUAGCAAUGAGCUAGAAAAAUAAACUCUCUUGCUAAUGUAGUAAAUGGGCCAGAAAUAAACUUCUCAGGGAUUUGGGUGGUGGGGUGGGGUGAGGGAGGGGCACACAGAGGGGAUAGUGGAAUUGGAUUUCUGGAAUAAAUGAUCUGAAACCCUUAGCACACUAUAUCUUCAAAAAGCAAUGUCUUCCUUUAUAUAAUGCACGUAUCACCAUCACGAUACGAGAGCAACUCGAAGAAUCUUAACGUAUACCACGGUAAACACCUACGGCACCCAACUCAGUCUACAGCAGGACACCCAAAAGUUAAAUUCACUUUGGCUGUGGCUGUGCUCCAGGUACAUAUUUUCUCAUGAGCUUUGUUUCUUUGUUCUAGAACCAUCCUUCCCAAUAUUCCUUAACAUUGAAAUUAUACAUGUUAAAUUAAUUAUUGUUCAUUUAACUGAUGAGCUGAAACUCACGUCCUUCCUUUUGAAAGCUAAAGUAAUCUUCUAAUAAAAGGUCAGGAAUUAUCAAAUUUACUUGUAAUUAUUACUAAUUCUUCUGUGACUUCUUUUUUUUUUUUUUGAGGUGGAGUCUUGCUCUGUCGCCCAGGCUGGAGUGCAGUGGCACGAUCUCGGCUCAUUGCAAGCUCCACCUUCUGGGUUCACACCAUUCUCCUGCCUCAGUCUCCUCAGCAGCUGGGAUUACAGGCGCCCACUACCAUGCCAGGCUAAUUUUUUUUGUAUUUUUUAGUAGAGACGGGGUUUCACUGUUAACCAGGAUGGUCUCGAUCUCCUAACCUCGUGAUCCGCCUGCCUCGGCCUCCCAAAGUGCUGGGAUUACAGGCGUGAGACACCACGCCCGGCCUCUUCUGUGACUUCUUAACCACAAAUAAAGUCUUGGCCUUGGAAAAAGGAAGAUCUGAAACAGAACAAGGCAAUUAAAAAGUGGGUGGAGGAAGUAUAGGAGUAGUGGAGAAAAAAGAAAGGAAUGGAUUUUCUAAAUUUAAAACACUCUUUGCCCUUUCCUGAAAUAAUGACUUAUAUUCUUUGAGUUCACAAGAGAGUAAUUGGAUAUGCAUGAUGCAAUGCUGGAAUUUUAGGUAUUUUGCCUAAAGGUUAUUAACAAUUAGUACCACUAGGGGAAAAAUCAUAAAGUUAGUUAGAAUAACAACCCUCUCUCAAAGGAUAAUGAAAACUGGACUUGUAAUCUGGUCAUAAUAAAAAUAUAUUAUGUUUAUAUUGGAGCCUCACAUGUCAAGAGGAAAACUCACAAACUAGAAUAUGUCCAACAGGUGGCCAUGACUAAAUGAAGACUGAAAAACAAGUUGUAUGAGGACCAAUGAAGGAAUCUUCCUUUGAAGCAGUAAAGACUGCGAAAAAAAACAUGAAAAACUGUCUUUAGAUAAAUCCUUUAACAGGAAUGGUACACAGAACAGGGAGAUGUUAUAAGUGGAGCUACUGAUGACAGCAUUAGAGCCAAAGGGUGAAAGGCAGAUGUUGAGUCAUUCAAUAGAAGAGGUGUCUGAUCUCUUCCUAUCCAAUGUAGCAGAAUCCAUCCCAUACUAUAUCUGAAAGAUGACCACUUUGCUUUGACAUUUGCAGUGGUACAGAACUCACUAUCUCAAGAAUACCUUCCUCGGGAUGGUAAUAAGUAUGAGAAAUGCCCUUUCUAGUUCUAAAUUUCUUCUCCACAAGACAACUCAUUCCAUUUUCAAACAAUUAUUAGAUCUAUCCAUCUCUUAGUCUUCUAUUUGUCAAGCAAACAUCUCCAAUUCCUCACAUCAUUAUUAAUUCAGUAUUGUGAACCUUGUACCAUUUUAGUCACCAGCUUUGUGGAUAAUCUUUGGAUUGUAGUGUCUGUAACUGACAUCCAAAUUAAGUGCUCUUGAUAUGGUCUAACUAGCAACUGACCCCAUCCAUAUUUCUAUUUCCAAAGCAGAGAAACAAGAAAAUCAAUUGGCCAAUAUAACUGAAUAAAUCCAGGUAAAUACAUAUUUGGCUUUCAAUUAGUCAGGAAGUCUGAAUUUCUAGAGGAUAUUGAAGAUACAGCAUCAGACAAUGCAUUUGUCUGAUUGCUGACAACUUUUAAUUUCCCUGUUCAAGAAAAUCGAUCAAUGUGUGUUAGCUAAACACCUGUUAUGUUCAACCCUGUGUUAGUCAUCAUUUGAUGUGUAACAGAAGUGUAAGGCCAGGUACCUACAAUAUUUGUAGAGUCAAUACUAAGGUACAUGAAAUAAUUUUAGAGUUUUUACAAGAUAUACAUCAUUAUGUAUACUUAUAUGAAAUAGUCUCAAGUUCAGCAGGGAAGACUGGGCCCAGGUGGGCUGAGGAAUGCAUGUGAAGAGGUAGGGAGGCAGGAAACUUGAAGGAUGGUUAGGGCUUGUCUAUUUGGAAUGGAGAGAGAGGCCACAAAGGAGUGCGUGUGUAGAAAUAAUGAGUAAUAAAGGAGGUCAAGGUUAGUAGGGACGUGUGUGGUUACAAAUAGAAAUAUUUGGAUUUGUACCAUAACAUUUCUAUUACAACUUCCUUUCUCCCAUUCCAAACAUGCUUGGUUUUACAGAAAAAACUUCCAGGACUCAGAUUUCCAUGGGUAUUAGUUUGCAAACUAAUCCCUGAUGAGAUAUUAUGAGGAGCUAAGAGAGUGAUGCUAGAAUUCUCAAGUGGCAAUGGCAAAUUUCAGGGCUGACUUCCUGGAUAACCAAUUCUUUUUUUUUAUUCUGAGCAUGGGAAUUUCAGUUCAUCCAGCAGAAGAAAUGUUUUUUGAUAGAUGUGACUUUUGGUACAUUUUGAAUUAUGUCAUCUUGGGGACAAAUGGUCCCAAAAGCCAAGGUCCUAAAUGUGUACAUCUGAUCCAACUCUAAGAACUUUUGCUCAGUUGUGACGUCAAAGAAUUUCUAUUUUAGAGUGGUCUUCUGCAACUGAUACCAUCCAUAUUUCUGUCUCCAAAGCAGAGAAACAAGAAAAUCAAUUUGCCAAUAUAACUGAAUAAAUCCAGGUAAAUACAUAUUUGGCUUUCAAUUAGCCAGGGAGUCUGAAUUUCUAGAGAAUAUUGAAGAGACAGCGUCAGACAAUGCAAUUUCCUUUAAUAGGGACCAUAACCUCAGAGUUGCUGCUCUGUUUUUUAAUAUUGUACAAUUAACUUUUUUUUUUUUUGCAGCACACUCUGCUUAUAGCUUCUGUGGAAACUUAAACAUUAUUCAAUAGAAUAAUUUCCUGGAAAAUCUUUUGAAAGUGGUCACAGCCCUGACCUUGCUCUGGUGCCCUGGGUCCACCAGCAUGCUGUUUCAUUACCUCAGGAAGGUUUGGUGCCAAGAGACAGUCCAAGAGUUAGUGCAUAAAGAAAGCUAGGUUCAUAAAAGAAUUAAUAUCUGCCUUCUUUCAAGGAGGGAAACUGCCACUUCCAACCAUUUUAUGCAUCUAUCACUUCUCUUCUAUCUUCAUCAUUCAACCCUUCAACUGGCCUACCUAGAUGACAGGUAAAAAUUAUAGAUUUUUAACUCUUAAGAAAUAACUGCCGAAGUCAUUUCUUCCAAACCAUUCUCAUUACCAAUGGGAAACUCAGGCCCAGAAAGCCUAAAUGACUUUUGCAAGACCACAGAGUAAGUAGCAGAGUCAGGACUUAAACUCCACAUUGCAGAAGAUGAACCAGGGAUGAUAUUUUUAAAACUUAGCAAUGGUAUGACAAAAUCACCAAACAGUUAGAAUAGAGCCUCUGAUUGUACUGGUGUGCCAUUAAAUACCAGCCCCAACUGGAUUACAGUGUAUAUCAGUAAUACUUUAAGGGAUAAAGAGAAAAAAUGUGCCACUUACUAUCAAGCUAUUUAAAGGAGCUAGGUAAUAAAAUAAUCAUAAUUUAUUUUUACUGUUGGUUCUUCCCUUUUUCAUCUUUUUGCCUUUUUUUUCCAUUGUCUUUCUUGUUACUAAUCCUGUGAAAAUUCACCCUCUGUUUGGCAGCCCGGGUCAUUGUUAUUUGUGCUAAGCUCCUAUAUUAUUAGUCUGUUAUCAUAUUGCCAUAAAAAAACUACUUGAAGCCAGGCGAGGUGGCUCAUGUCUGUAAUCCUAGCACUUUGGGAGGCCGAGGCAGGCAGAUCACUUGAGGUCAGGGGUUUGAAACCCGACUGGCCAACAUGGUGGAACCCUGUCUCUACUAAAAGUACAAAAAUUAGCUGGAAAUUGCUUGAACCCAGGAGGUGAAGGUUGCAGUGGGCCGAGAUCGUGCCACUACACUCCAGCCUGGGCAACAGAACAAGAGUCCGUCUCCAAAAAAAAUAAAAACAAACAAACAAACAAACAAACAAAAAAAAACAGCACAACUACUUGAGACUGGGUGAUUUAUACAGAAAAAAACAUUUUAUUGAUUCACAGUUCCAUAGGCUGUAUAGGAAGCAUGGGUGGGGAGGCCUCAGGAAACUUGCAAUCAUGGUGGAAGCCAAAGCAGGCACAUCUUACAUGGCCAGAGGAAGAAGCAAGCAAAGGUGGAGGUGCUACACACUUUUCAACCACCAGAUCUCAUGAGAACUCACGCACUAUCACGAGAACAGCAAGGGGGAAAUUCACCUUCAUGAUCCAGUCACCUCCCACUGGGCCCCUCCUCCAAUUCUGGGGAUUAUAAUUCCACAUGAGAUUUGGGCAGGGACACAAAUCCAAACCAUAUAAGCUCCAUUCUGCAUUCAAGUGUAUGUUGGUCUUGCCAAAAUUAUCAAUACCUUCUCCGUAAAUACCACUUUCAAGCCUUGUAGGUUAAGCCCUGAUUAUGUUUGUAAAAGUAGCUUGAUCUACAUGUCUACAAUUGUUCUCUAAUUUGCUUUAUCCAAAUGGAAAAAAAAACACACAAUAUUUUAGGCCUUGAUUUUCAUCAUGAAUUUUUAAAAAUCUAAAAUUGCCUCUUCAUUGUGUUAUUUCAAAAUCAUGAGAUAUCCUUUCAUUGCUUCUACUGAUAAGGUUGUUUGUAACUCAAAAUCAUAAUUGGUAGAUCAACAGAAUAAAAUUAUGAGAUACAAAUAUACAUUUGAUUAUUAUUGCUACUGGUUAGAGCCUUCACUAUGACAUGCAGUGACAUGCUCACAGAAAUGACAAGCCCUAAAACUUCUUGCUUUUUGGUUAAACACUUUAUGAUUAAACAUUUCAAUCUUUAAACUUUCUAAUAGUAUCUUGAAAUUGUGUAUCUCAUUUUAACAUUUUUAAGCCACUUAGACAAAUGACUUUUUGCCAUGCUUGCUUGACUUUUUUUCUUGCAUGGACUUACAGAUAAAGGUGGUCUCAUCCCUAAUGAACAUAUGAGGCCACAAGAAUUUCUCCUUUUUUUUUUUUUUUUUUUUUGUUGUUGUUGUUGUUUAUUUUUGAUACAGGGUCUUGCUCUGUCACCCAGGCUGGAGUACAGUGGCAGGAACAAAGCUCACUGCAGCCUCAGAGUCCUGGACUCAAACCAUACUCCCACCUCAGCCUCCUGAGUAGCUGAGACCCAGGAGCACUCACCACUUCCAGCUAAUUUUUUGUAGAGACAGGAUCUUAAACUCCUGGGUUCAAGCAGACUGCCCACCUCUGUCUCCCAUGUGCUGUGAUUACAGGAGUGAGCCACCAUGCUUGGACAGUUUCUCCUCUUGAAUCAUCAACAGUCCCUGUAAAGUCUCAAGAAAAGUGUUUGGAGUAUCCAUAAUGUGCUAAGUCACUUAGGAACAAAGUUACACAAAACACAUCCCCAGUUUUUGUCUCUAUGCUUUCAAGAUGGGUGAAACUUUAUGUUUGAAGUUUCAUGUUUUAUGCCAAGCAUGAUGAGAGAUAGAGGAAUGGGAAGACUUGGUCUUACAGGUUAAAGAUGUGAAACAUACAAAACAUGCUCUCAUGAGAUAAUUAGACAAACAAGUCAGUGUGAUUGAGAGCAACAUGCUGGGAACUGGUUUAGAGGCUCCUGGAGGUAAGGACAGAGUCACUGUUACAUGUUUGGGGUAUUUUGCUGAAGCAUCGCAGAGGCAGCAUUGUCCUCGUCAACAGGAGAUGGGGCGGGAGGAAAGGAGAGCAGAGGGCUGCAACCAAAGCAACCCAGGGUCCAGGUGACAGAUCUCCCCUAUUGGUAAAAUGUGAUUCAUGUGGUAGCACCGCACUGGGAGCUUCAGUACCUUUAACUUUCUCUCUCAGGCUUUUACACCUGGUGAACGUCUAGAAUAACUGCCACAGAAAAUACAUCUAUGACAUUUAAUCACUGAGUGUUCGAGAGAAGGCAAAGCCCGGACACCAAGUAAGCCAGGUACCCCUGAGGCAAACUCCAGAGGCUUCCCUGGGCCGUGAAACCAGCCAAAGAAGGCAAAAUUCACCCACCCUCCAAAAGACGUUUGCGUUCCCACGCAUGUUCUCCGCCCUGAGAUAGCUUAGAACACAGCUCUACCAACGACUUUUCAUUUCCAUUAACCUAUUCCUGAUUCUUUGAUUCAAGGAACCUUGCCAUCCUUAGCUCUUUGGAUUAUUUAUGAGGUCUGAUUUAUAAUACAAAAUUAUACAGUGUACCAUAGUUAAAACCUUGAAGGAAAAAAUGCAUUUUGUAUUUCUUCUUCUUGGAGAGGCCCAAACACCCCUCCCCAGGGUUGGAAAGGAGAGUGGAGGUAGGGUAAUGGAACUCCCUCUCAGGCCUCUGAAUAUGGAGAAAUUAAGAAGAAUGGGAUGGGGUUGGGGGACAGAGGUAGUAAGCAAACAAAUGACUUAUUUUUAAUCUAGAGUUACCCAUUUGGAGAGAGAUACAGGGUUAUAUCCUAACGGUACCUUUUUAAAAAAUAAGUCAUAAGUAUGCUCAUGCCCUAACAAGUUAGUGAAUUUUUCCAGUAAAAUUAAAAUUAAAUAGAAAGCCAUGGUAAAUUACCCAUUUCAUUUCUCCUUCUAGAUUUAAAAAAAAAAAAAGAGGCACUUUGUCGCUUCUUACUGUGAGUGCACUUCAGCCUUAAUACAUGCAUUUAUGUCAAGGGGGCCAUUUACACUGUUGUCUGCUGGAGUUUUUCUUCUUUCAACUUAGUAGGGAAUAUUUGUAAUCUUUAUUACCCCAAAUAAAUC